GACGAACGCUGGCGGCGUGCCUAAUACAUGCAAGUCGAACGAGUGGCGGACGGGUGAGUAAUGUCUGGGAAACUGCCUGAUGGAGGGGGAUAACUACUGGAAACGGUAGCUAAUACCGCAUACCAUCAGAUGUGCCCAGAUUGGCUUAGCUUGUUGGUGGGGUAACGGCUCACCAAGGCGACGAUCCCGACCUGGUCUGACAGGAUGACCAACCACACUGGAACUGAGACACGGUCCAUACUCCUACGGGAGCCAACAGUGGGGAAUAUUGCACAGUGGUCGAAAGCCUUAUGCAGCCAUGCCGCUUGUAUGAAGAAGGCCUUCGGGUUGUAAAGUACUUUCAGCGGGGAGGCGUUACCCGCAGGAGAAGCACCGGCUAACUCCGUGCCAGCAGCCGCAGUAAUAC
rnacentral:rRNA from 1 species